rnacentral:piRNA from 1 species
UGCCAGGAAUCACUAACAGCCAGACCAGA